CUCAAUCUAAAGUUUCUAUCCUUUUCACAAUCUAUAGUCUCUUAUAGUUUCAAAAUCUAUAGUUUCUAUUAUUUUUACAUCUAAAGAUCACCUAACUCGGAUCGACUUCGGGAAGUCUCGUAUUUUUAUAACAAAUCACAUGUGGCAUGCUUUCUUCCAAAAAUACCCUUUUCAUGAUGGAUAAAGCUUUUCGAAAACGUUUUACUCGUAUUUUGAGUUUUUAACCGAGCUUUGAUACCAUAAAUUGUAACCCCUCAAACUGGUCCUAGACGUUACAGCCCAAUAUAAGUGAUUACAUGGGCCAUAAACAUUGCCAAAACACAGGUUAAAGCCAACUAAUUAAAUUUUUGAAAACACUUACUAAUAUUUCCUUUAAAUAUGAUACUUUAAAACAUAACUUGAGAAGAAAUCUUAUAUAUUAUUAUUUGUAAAUCAUUAUGAUAAAUUUUAAAGAAAAUUCAAUUUCGAUCAAACGAGUUUUGUGGAAAGCAAAUUUUAUUAAGAAAACUUUAAAACAAUUUAUCCAUACUAAAACCCAUGCAAAAUGUUCAACUGUCUAUAGCUUUUAACUCAAAUCAUCCAUGGCAUAGUUCAAUUACAACCUCAAAAUGUAAAUCCCAAA
rnacentral:lncRNA from 1 species